rnacentral:rRNA from 1 species
UACAGAGGGUGCGAGCGUUGUCCGGAAUCACUGGGCGUAAAGGGUGCGUAGGCGGCUUUAUAAGUCAUUGGUGAAAGCUCGCAGCUUAACUGCGAAACUGCCAUUGAAACUGUUUAGCUUGAAUGUGGUUGAAGUGGGCGGAAUACAACAUGUAGCGGUGAAAUGCUUAGAUAUGUUUUAGAACACCGAUUGCGAAGGCAGCUCACUAAGCCAAUAUUGACGCUGAGGCACGAAAGCGUGGGUAGCAAACAGG